rnacentral:lncRNA from 1 species
AUGAUGUACCACAGUUUCUUUGGUUCAAAUAAUUAUCAUCCAGUAGUCUUCCUAGUGGAGAUGAUUUUUCUGCUACUAAGGAUAAUGAAUGACAACAGCCGAGAGUGUUCUGGGUCUUCUUGGGAACCCUGCUUUAACCAUGCCCCAGGCCAUCCACUUCCUGACCUCUUUAUUCUUCCCAAGGCAGCCUCAACCAGGUGUAGUGGAGAGAGCAGCAGAUUAAGAAUCAGAGGAGUUCCUGGCUUCAGAUCCCAGCUCUAUGACUUAGGCAAGUCAUUUAACUUUUCUAGGCCUUGUUUUGCUGAUCUAUCAAAUAAAGAAGUUCAUUAGAUGAACUUUAAAUGUUUCUCUUAGUUUUACACUUCUGAUUCACAUUAAAAUUUUCUCUAUCCUCUCUUGGAAACAGGAAAACUAUCUUUAAGAACAAUAUUAAUUUAUCCCAACAUAUUCAUGGGAUUUGUUGUGAUCAAUGUGAGUCAAGCAUGAUACCUGGUACAUAGAAGAUGUCAAAUAAAUACUUGAUUGAUUAAUUAAUACA